UACGGGGGGAGCAAGCGUUGUUCGGAUUUACUGGGCGUAAAGGGCGCGUAGGCGGUCGUGACAAGUCACUUGUGAAAUCUCCGGGCUUAACUCGGAACGGUCAACUGAUACUGUGCGGCUAGAGUGCAGAAGGGGCAACUGGAAUUCUUGGUGUAGCGGUGAAAUGCGUAGAUAUCAAGAGGAACACCUGCGGCGAAGGCGGGUUGCUGGGCUGACACUGACGCUGAGGCGCGAAAGCUAGGGGAGCGAACGGG
rnacentral:rRNA from 1 species